CUCGCUUAUGUGGGGCCAUCAUGGCCAGAGGCCCAGCCAGUCAAAUGUGUCUCACUUUAGCUAUGACCCCCUCUCAAAAGCACAUCGUCGCGUAAAAUCCAGGCAGUGAGAGCUUUGUUGAUCUCAGCCCUGAAUGCUGCGGUGUGG